rnacentral:rRNA from 1 species
ACGCUAGCUACAGGCUUAACACAUGCAAGUCGAGGGGCAGCAUGGAUGAAGCUUGCUUCUUCUGAUGGCGACCGGCGCACGGGUGCGUAACGCGUAUCAAACCUGCCUCAUACUCGGGGAUAGCCUUGCGAAAGUAAGAUUAAUACCCGAUGUUGUUAUGUUGCCGCAUGGUGAUAUAACCAAAGAUUUAUCGGUAUGAGAUGGUGAUGCGUCCGAUUAGGUAGUAGGCGGGGUAACGGCCCACCUAGCCUUCGAUCGGUAGGGGUUCUGAGAGGAAGGUCCCCCACACUGGAACUGAGACACGGUCCAGACUCCUACGGGAGGCAGCAGUGAGGAAUAUUGGUCAAUGGACGGAAGUCUGAACCAGCCAAGUAGCGUGCAGGAUGACGGCCCUCCGGGUUGUAAACUGCUUUUAGUUGGGAAUAAAAAAGAGGACGUGUCCUCUAUUGUAUGUACCUUCAGAAAAAGGACCGGCUAAUUCCGUGCCAGCAGCCGCGGUAAUACGGAAGGUCCAGGCGUUAUCCGGAUUUAUUGGGUUUAAAGGGAGCGUAGGCGGAUUAUUAAGUCAGUGGUGAAAGACGGUGGCUCAACCAUCGUUAGCCAUUGAAACUGGUAGUCUUGAGUGCAGACAGGGAUGCUGGAACUCGUGGUGUAGCGGUGAAAUGCUUAGAUAUCACGAUGAACUCCGAUCGCGAAGGCAGGUGUCCGGGCUGCAACUGACGCUGAGGCUCGAAAGUGUGGGUAUCAAACAGGAUUAGAUACCCUGGUAGUCCACACAGUAAACGAUGUAUACUCGCGGUUUGCGAUACAAUGUAAGCCGCCAAGCGAAAGCAUUAAGUAUACCACCUGGGGAGUACGCCGGCAACGGUGAAACUCAAAGGAAUUGACGGGGGCCCGCACAAGCGGAGGAACAUGUGGUUU